rnacentral:rRNA from 1 species
UUAAGCGACUAAGCGUACACGGUGGAUGCCCUGGCAGUCAGAGGCGAUGAAGGACGUGCUAAUCUGCGAUAAGCGUCGGUAAGGUGAUAUGAACCGUUAUAACCGGCGAUUUCCGAAUGGGGAAACCCAGUGUGUUUCGACACACUAUCAUUAACUGAAUCCAUAGGUUAAUGAGGCGAACCGGGGGAACUGAAACAUCUAAGUACCCCGAGGAAAAGAAAUCAACCGAGAUUCCCCCAGUAGCGGCGAGCGAACGGGGAGCAGCCCAGAGCCUGAAUCAGUGUGUGUGUUAGUGGAAGCGUCUGGAAAGGCGCGCGAUACAGGGUGACAGCCCCGUACACAAAAAUGCACAUGCUGUGAGCUCGAUGAGUAGGGCGGGACACGUGGUAUCCUGUCUGAAUAUGGGGGGACCAUCCUCCAAGGCUAAAUACUCCUGACUGACCGAUAGUGAACCAGUACCGUGAGGGAAAGGCGAAAAGAACCCCGGCGAGGGGAGUGAAAAAGAACCUGAAACCGUGUACGUACAAGCAGUGGGAGCACGCUUAGGCGUGUGACUGCGUACCUUUUGUAUAAUGGGUCAGCGACUUAUAUUCUGUAGCAAGGUUAACCGAAUAGGGGAGCCGAAGGGAAACCGAGUCUUAACUGGGCGUUAAGUUGCAGGGUAUAGACCCGAAACCCGGUGAUCUAGCCAUGGGCAGGUUGAAGGUUGGGUAACACUAACUGGAGGACCGAACCGACUAAUGUUGAAAAAUUAGCGGAUGACUUGUGGCUGGGGGUGAAAGGCCAAUCAAACCGGGAGAUAGCUGGUUCUCCCCGAAAGCUAUUUAGGUAGCGCCUCGUGAAUUCAUCUCCGGGGGUAGAGCACUGUUUCGGCAAGGGGGUCAUCCCGACUUACCAACCCGAUGCAAACUGCGAAUACCGGAGAAUGUUAUCACGGGAGACACACGGCGGGUGCUAACGUCCGUCGUGAAGAGGGAAACAACCCAGACCGCCAGCUAAGGUCCCAAAGUCAUGGUUAAGUGGGAAACGAUGUGGGAAGGCCCAGACAGCCAGGAUGUUGGCUUAGAAGCAGCCAUCAUUUAAAGAAAGCGUAAUAGCUCACUGGUCGAGUCGGCCUGCGCGGAAGAUGUAACGGGGCUAAACCAUGCACCGAAGCUGCGGCAGCGACGCUUAUGCGUUGUUGGGUAGGGGAGCGUUCUGUAAGCCUGCGAAGGUGUGCUGUGAGGCAUGCUGGAGGUAUCAGAAGUGCGAAUGCUGACAUAAGUAACGAUAAAGCGGGUGAAAAGCCCGCUCGCCGGAAGACCAAGGGUUCCUGUCCAACGUUAAUCGGGGCAGGGUGAGUCGACCCCUAAGGCGAGGCCGAAAGGCGUAGUCGAUGGGAAACAGGUUAAUAUUCCUGUACUUGGUGUUACUGCGAAGGGGGGACGGAGAAGGCUAUGUUGGCCGGGCGACGGUUGUCCCGGUUUAAGCGUGUAGGCUGGUUUUCCAGGCAAAUCCGGAAAAUCAAGGCUGAGGCGUGAUGACGAGGCACUACGGUGCUGAAGCAACAAAUGCCCUGCUUCCAGGAAAAGCCUCUAAGCAUCAGGUAACAUCAAAUCGUACCCCAAACCGACACAGGUGGUCAGGUAGAGAAUACCAAGGCGCUUGAGAGAACUCGGGUGAAGGAACUAGGCAAAAUGGUGCCGUAACUUCGGGAGAAGGCACGCUGAUAUGUAGGUGAAGUCCCUCGCGGAUGGAGCUGAAAUCAGUCGAAGAUACCAGCUGGCUGCAACUGUUUAUUAAAAACACAGCACUGUGCAAACACGAAAGUGGACGUAUACGGUGUGACGCCUGCCCGGUGCCGGAAGGUUAAUUGAUGGGGUUAGCCGCAAGGCGAAGCUCUUGAUCGAAGCCCCGGUAAACGGCGGCCGUAACUAUAACGGUCCUAAGGUAGCGAAAUUCCUUGUCGGGUAAGUUCCGACCUGCACGAAUGGCGUAAUGAUGGCCAGGCUGUCUCCACCCGAGACUCAGUGAAAUUGAACUCGCUGUGAAGAUGCAGUGUACCCGCGGCAAGACGGAAAGACCCCGUGAACCUUUACUAUAGCUUGACACUGAACAUUGAGCCUUGAUGUGUAGGAUAGGUGGGAGGCUUUGAAGUGUGGACGCCAGUCUGCAUGGAGCCGACCUUGAAAUACCACCCUUUAAUGUUUGAUGUUCUAACGUUGACCCGUAAUCCGGGUUGCGGACAGUGUCUGGUGGGUAGUUUGACUGGGGCGGUCUCCUCCUAAAGAGUAACGGAGGAGCACGAAGGUUGGCUAAUCCUGGUCGGACAUCAGGAGGUUAGUGCAAUGGCAUAAGCCAGCUUGACUGCGAGCGUGACGGCGCGAGCAGGUGCGAAAGCAGGUCAUAGUGAUCCGGUGGUUCUGAAUGGAAGGGCCAUCGCUCAACGGAUAAAAGGUACUCCGGGGAUAACAGGCUGAUACCGCCCAAGAGUUCAUAUCGACGGCGGUGUUUGGCACCUCGAUGUCGGCUCAUCACAUCCUGGGGCUGAAGUAGGUCCCAAGGGUAUGGCUGUUCGCCAUUUAAAGUGGUACGCGAGCUGGGUUUAGAACGUCGUGAGACAGUUCGGUCCCUAUCUGCCGUGGGCGCUGGAGAACUGAGGGGGGCUGCUCCUAGUACGAGAGGACCGGAGUGGACGCAUCACUGGUGUUCGGGUUGUCAUGCCAAUGGCACUGCCCGGUAGCUAAAUGCGGAAGAGAUAAGUGCUGAAAGCAUCUAAGCACGAAACUUGCCCCGAGAUGAGUUCUCCCUGACUCCUUGAGAGUCCUGAAGGAACGUUGAAGACGACGACGUUGAUAGGCCGGGUGUGUAAGCGCAGCGAUGCGUUGAGCUAACCGGUACUAAUGAACCGUGAGGCUUAACCUU